UACGUAGGGUGCAAGCGUUAAUCGGAAUUACUGGGCGUAAAGCGUGCGCAGGCGGUUUUGUAAGACUGUCGUGAAAUCCCCGGGCUUAACCUGGGAAUGGCGAUGGUGACUGCAAGGCUAGAGUUUGGCAGAGGGGGGUAGAAUUCCACGUGUAGCAGUGAAAUGCGUAGAGAUGUGGAGGAACACCGAUGGCGAAGGCAGCCCCCUGGGUCAAAACUGACGCUCAUGCACGAAAGCGUGGGGAGCAAAAGGG
rnacentral:rRNA from 1 species